rnacentral:lncRNA from 1 species
UGAUGGUUAAUAUUGAGUGUCACCUUCAUUGGAUUGAAGGAUGCAAAGUAUUGUUCCUGGGUAUGUCUUCGAGGGCAUUGCCAAAGGAGAUUAACAUUUGAGUGAGUAGACUGGGAGAGACAGACCCACCCUCUAUCUGGGUGGGCGCCAUCCAAUCAUUUGCCAGCAUGGCUAGAACAAAACAGGCAGAAGAAAGUGGGAGAGGGUGACUUGCUGAGUCUUCCAGCCCUCACCUUUCUCCCAUGCUGGGUGCUUCCUGCCCUCGAAUAUCAGACUGCAAGUUCUUCAGCUUUUGGACUCUUGGACUAACACCACUGGUUUGCCAGGGGCUCUCGAGCCUUCAGCCACGGCUGAAGGCUGCACUGUCAGCUUCCCUACUUUUGAGGUAUGGACUCAGACUGAUCCACUACCGGCUUCCUUGCUCCUCAACAUGCAGAUGGUCUAUCAUGGGACUUUACUUCGUGAUCAUGGAAAAAAGUUCCACUUAUGGACAACUCAUUCCAUCUUCAAUGAUGAAGACAGACUUUGGGGAAAAAGAGAAAAUCACUUGGAACCACUCAAAAGAAUCCAUUGCUUUUAUAAGUUGAAU